UACAGAGGUCUCAAGCGUUGUUCGGAUUCAUUGGGCGUAAGGGGUGCGUAGGCGGCGCGGUAAGUCGGGUGUGAAAUCUCGGGGCUUAACUCCGAAACUGCAUUCGAUACUGCCGUGCUUGAGGACUGGAGAGGAGACUGGAAUUUACGGUGUAGCGGUGAAAUGCGUAGAUAUCGUAAGGAAGACCAGUGGCGAAGGCGGGUCUCUGGACAGUUCCUGACGCUGAGGCACGAAGGUCAGGGGAGCAAACGGG
rnacentral:rRNA from 1 species